CUCCACGCUAUUGAAAACAACAACAUAUGUGAACAGAAUUUGAUCGCAAGUUCGCGAAAAUAUACAGCGAAAAUACAGGGACUUUUUCGAUAAAAUAUACGAAAUUUGAAAUGGAAAACCCGCUAAACAGAGAGCCAAAGUAGUUUUCAAGAUUCUCGACCAGAAUAUGUGAAGAUUGCGAAGCGUUUGAUCAACUUUGAAGCGAGAGAUGUUGUACUUGCAUGCUAUGGUCUGAUGAAUUUCAACGCUACGCGUUGCUUCUUGCUGAAUAGCAAUGUAUUAAUCAGAAAUUUAUUCAUACAACUAAACCAACGUGAAAAAACUAAUUUAUUCAUACAACUAAAACAACUUUACAAUGCGAGUAUAUUUGUAAAAUUAUGUCCAAGAAUUUCUGUUCAGAAUUUCCCGUGCAGGAUUGUCUGAUCCUGCACGGCUGUUGACCAAUCAAAUUGCGUGUUUCACUGUAGUUAUUAUAUAAAGGUAUUUUGCCACUCUUUACCAAAGUACUUGUCUGACCAUCUUGAGCGAGUACAUAAACGGUCCUUGGUUAUGAUUUACAGGGGACAGCCGUAUUCAGAAAGCAUGCAACAAUCUGGACCAAACUCCGUAUCGGUCCGAAGACAAACACUGUGUGAAAAGCUUUUCUGUAAAAUAUCAACUGACGGUGACCAUAAACUCCAUGCACUGCUGCCGCUAAAACACCAAACGAAAUAUAACUUAAGACACAAACGCCUCUAUGAUCUUCCAAUGACUAACACUAACCGCUUUAGGAACACUUUUGUACCAUCCAUGCUAUACUGUAAUAAUUGAGUAGACUUACUGGUUACAUGUCUAAUAUUUAAAGUUAUAUAUUGUAAAAUCGACGUAAUUCAACCAGCGUAGCUGGAAAGUAGCUUUUAAUAAAAAU